UAAGUGAAUUAGAUGAUCGCGGGAUUAUUCCUGAGGAAAGUCCGAGCUCCACAGGGCAGGAUGCUGGGUAACACCCAGUGGGGGCAACCCUAAGGAAAGUGCCACAGAAACAUACCGCCUGAACAGGUAAGGGUGAAAAGGUGAGGUAAGAGCUCACCAGCGACUAGGUGACUAAUCGGCUAGGUAAACCCCAUCCGGAGCAAGGCCAAAUAGGGGAGAAGGAAUUGCCCGUUCCGCUAUACUCUCGGGUUGGCCGCAUGAGACAUUAGGUAACUAGUGUCCCAGAUAGAUGAUCAUCCUCGACAGAACUCGGCUUAUAAAUUCACUUAGCAG
rnacentral:RNase_P_RNA from 1 species